rnacentral:rRNA from 1 species
CCUGCGGGAGGCUGCAGUGGGGAAUAUUGGACAAUGGGGGCAACCCUGAUCCAGCCAUGCCGCGUGUGUGAAGAAGGCCCUCGGGUUGUAAAGCACUUUCAGUGAGGAAGAACGCCUGGUGGUUAAUACCCAUCAGGAAAGACAUCACUCACAGAAGAAGCACCGGCUAACUCCGUGCCAGCAGCCGCGGUAAUACGGAGGGUGCGAGCGUUAAUCGGAAUUACUGGGCGUAAAGCGCGCGUAGGUGGCUUGAUAAGCCGGUUGUGAAAGCCCCGGGCUCAACCUGGGAACGGCAUCCGGAACUGUCAAGCUAGAGUGCAGGAGAGGAAGGUAGAAUUCCCGGUGUAGCGGUGAAAUGCGUAGAGAUCGGGAGGAAUACCAGUGGCGAAGGCGGCCUUCUGGACUGACACUGACGCUGAGGUGCGAAAGCGUGGGUAGCAAACAGGAUUAGAUACCCCAGUAGUC